rnacentral:rRNA from 1 species
UACAGAGGUCUCAAGCGUUGUUCGGAUUCAUUGGGCGUAAAGGGUGCGUAGGCGGCGCGGUAAGUCGGGUGUGAAAUCUCGGAGCUUAACUCCGAAACUGCAUUCGAUACUGCCGUGCUUGAGGACUUGGAGAGGAGACUGGAAUUCAUGGUGUAGCAGUGAAAUGCGUAGAGAUCAUGAGGAAGACCAGUGGCGAAGGCGGGUCUCUGGACAGUUCCUGACACUGAGACACGAAGGCCAGGGGAGCAAACGGG